rnacentral:rRNA from 1 species
CUCUAGAGAUAGAGCUUCCCCUUCGGGGGCAAAGUGACAGGUGGUGCAUGGUUGUCGUCAGCACGUGUCGUGAGAUGUUGGGUUAAGUCCCGCAACGAGCGCAACCCUUAUUGUUAGUUGCCAUCAUUCAGAUGGGCACUCUAGCAAGACUGCCGGGGACAAACCGGAGGAAGGUGGGGAUGACGUCAAAUCAUCAUGCCCCUUAUGACCUGGGCUACACACGUGCUACACUGGGAAGUACAACGAGUUGCGAAGUCGCGAGGCUAAGCUAAUCUCUUAAA